CUGGACAGAGACCCUCAGACACACAGGUGCUUGGGUAGGAAGCCAUCAGUGCCCCCAAAAAUUGUCCAGCAAAGACACAGAUGAGGUUGGGGCUAGGCUGAGUGCCUUUGGGCAUGUGUUGACAUACAGCUUUUUUGGGUUUUAUUUCAGGUGAAAUGAACUCUUAGGAAACCACUGAUGGAUUCAUCAAGAAGCCCUAAACCUUGGAAAAGCCAAGAGACCAGAGGUCUCACCUUAAAGGUAUCUGGUCCUUCGACCUCACCGUGACCCAGCUUCUUCAGGAGAACAUUCCAGAAGCAGAGCAAGGGGCUGCGAACGGUGUGCAAUGCUUCCUGAACCACCUCAUGGCCCUCCAUCCACUUCGUCUGGGUCAUGCUGGCUCUGCGGCCAUGGCAUUUCAGCGUCUCGUCUUCAUCUUCAUCCUAUUUGUAACCAUGGGGCACAUGCUGUAUUUUUUUUUUUUUUAAUGCAAGAAAGUGUAAGAUUAGAAACGCCCAUGUUCAGAAGACAGCAAAGAAGGGAGCUUUAACCUGACAGAGAUGGAACAGAGGAGAUUAGAAAGAAUAGACAAUAAUGGCCACUCAUCCUGCUUCCAGUAUGAAGAUUCCCCUACAUCUAGCAUGGACAGAAGUGUUGACAGAGGGAGGAGUUUUGGCAGAACAACAGAAGUCAAGUACGGCAAUGGCAAAGAAAAAGCCAACUACUAAGCCUGUCUGUCUACCACAUUACUUUAUUGGCUUCCAAAUAAACCCAAUCCUAGGGGACAAAAGAUGUGAAUCCAUAUCAGAAGAGAGAGGCAGUUCUGGAUUCCUGAGGUAUUCAUUGAAGACUGAGUAAGUGUGGAGUUUCCAUCGUGGCUCAGUGGUAAUGAAUCCGACUAGUAUCCAUGAGGACCCAAAUUCGAUCUCUGCCCUCACUCAGUGGAUUAAGGAUCCAGUGUUGCUAUGAGCAGUGGUGUAAGGUUGCAGAUGCAGCUCGGAUCUUGCAUAGGCCAGCAGCUGCAGCUCUUUAUUGGACUCCUGCAUGUGCUACAGGUGCAGCUCUAAAAAGCAAAACCAAAACC
rnacentral:lncRNA from 1 species